UUAAGUGAAUAAGGGCGCACGGUGGAUGCCUUGGCACUAGGAGCCGAUGAAGGACGGGACUAACACCGAUAUGCUUCGGGGAGCUGUAAGUAAGCUUUGAUCCGGAGAUUUCCGAAUGGGGGAACCCAGCAUCUUUUAUAGGAUGUUACUUUUCAGUGAAUACAUAGCUGAUUAGAGGUAGACGCAGAGAACUGAAACAUCUAAGUACCUGCAGGAAGAGAAAGAAAAAUCGAUUCCCUGAGUAGCGGCGAGCGAAACGGGAAAAGCCCAAACCAAGAGGCUUGCCUCUUGGGGUUGUAGGACUCCGAUAUGGUAGUCCAGUGAGAUAGUCGAAGGACCUGGAAAGGUCUGCUAGAAAGGGUAAAAGCCCCGUAGACAAAAUUUGACUGGCACCUAGGAGGAUCCUGAGUACGGCGGAACACGAGGAAUUCCGUCGGAAUCCGGGAGGACCAUCUCCCAAGGCUAAAUACUCCCUAGUGACCGAUAGUGAACCAGUACCGUGAGGGAAAGGUGAAAAGCACCCCGGAAGGGGAGUGAAAUAGAUCCUGAAACCGUGUGCCUACAACAAGUUAGAGCCCGUUAAUGGGUGAUAGCGUGCCUUUUGUAGAAUGAACCGGCGAGUUACGAUUACUUGCGAGGUUAAGUUGAAAAGACGGAGCCGCAGCGAAAGCGAGUCUGAAUAGGGCGAAUGAGUAAGUGGUCGUAGACCCGAAACCAUGUGAUCUACCCAUGUCCAGGUUGAAGGUGCGGUAAAACGCACUGGAGGACCGAACCCACGUACGUUGAAAAGUGCGGGGAUGAGGUGUGGGUAGCGGAGAAAUUCCAAACGAACUUGGAGAUAGCUGGUUCUCUCCGAAAUAGCUUUAGGGCUAGCCUCAGAGUAAGAAUGAUGGAGGUAGAGCACUGUUUGGACUAGGGGCCCAUCUCGGGUUACCGAAUUCAGAUAAACUCCGAAUGCCAUCCAUUCAUCUCUGGGAGUCAGACUGUGAGUGAUAAGAUCCAUAGUCGAAAGGGAAACAGCCCAGACCACCAGCUAAGGUCCCCAAAUAACUAUUAAGUGGAAAAGGAUGUGGGGUUGCACAGACAACUAGGAUGUUGGCUUAGAAGCAGCCACCAUUUAAAGAGUGCGUAAUAGCUCACUAGUCGAGUGACCCUGCGCCGAAAAUGUACCGGGGCUAAAUAGUUUACCGAAGCUGUGGAACACACCAAUAGGUGUGUUGGUAGGAGAGCGUUCUAAGGGCGUUGAAGGUAGAUCGUGAGGACUGCUGGAGCGCUUAGAAGUGAGAAUGCCGGUAUGAGUAGCGAAAGACAGGUGAGAAUCCUGUCCACCGAAUGACUAAGGUUUCCUGGGGAAGGCUCGUCCGCCCAGGGUUAGUCGGGACCUAAGCCGAGGCCGAAAGGCGUAGGCGAUGGAUAACAGGUUGAUAUUCCUGUACCCGUUGUUUUUGUUUGAGCAAUGGAGGGACGCAGGAGGCUAAGGAAUCAGACGAUUGGAAAUGUCUGUCCAAGCAAUAAGUCUUGAUGUGAGUCAAAUGCUUACGUCUUUAAGGACAAGUUGUGAUGGGGAGGGAAAUAAUAGUACCGAAGUUCCUGAUGUCACACUGCCGAGAAAAGCUUCUAGUGAGAAAACAAUGGCCCGUACCGCAAACCGACACAGGUAGUCGAGGAGAGAAUCCUAAGGUGAGCGAGAGAACUCUCGUUAAGGAACUCGGCAAAAUGACCCCGUAACUUCGGGAGAAGGGGUGCUGAUCUAACGAUCAGCCGCAGUGAAUAGGCCCAAGCGACUGUUUAUCAAAAACACAGGUCUCUGCAAAAUCGAAAGAUGACGUAUAGGGGCUGACGCCUGCCCGGUGCUGGAAGGUUAAGAGGAGUGCUUAGCGUAAGCGAAGGUACGAAUUGAAGCCCCAGUAAACGGCGGCCGUAACUAUAACGGUCCUAAGGUAGCGAAAUUCCUUGUC
rnacentral:rRNA from 1 species